rnacentral:tRNA from 2 species
CGGGGUGUGGCUCAGCUUGGCUAGAGCGCCUGGUUUGGGACCAGGAGGUCGCAGGUUCGAAUCCUGUCACCCCG